rnacentral:rRNA from 1 species
CCUACGGGUGGCAGCAGUGGGGGAUAUUGCACAAUGGGGGGAACUCUGAUGCAGCGACGCCGCGGGGGUGAAGAAGCGCCUCGGCGCGUAAAGCCCUGUCAGCAGGGAAGACAAUGACGGUACCUGAAGAAGAAGCCCCGGCUAACUCAGUGCAAGCAGCCGCGGUAAUACGUAGGGGGCAAGCGUUAACCGGUUUUACUGGGUGGAAAGGGAGAGUCGACGGCAAGGCAAAUCUGGAGUGACAGCCCGUGGCACAACCACGGGACUGCUUUGGAAACUGUGUUGCUGGAGUGCAGGGGGGGUAAGCGGAAUGCCUGGGGUAGCGGUGAAAGGCGUAGAUAGUAGGAGGAACACCGGUGGCGAAGGCGGCUGACUGGACUGUAACUGACGUUGAGGCUCGAAGGCGUGGGGAGCAAACAGGAUUAGAUACCCGAGUAGUC